AGCUCAGUGGUAGAGCGCUUGCCUAGAAAGCACAAGGCCCUGGGUUCAGUCCCCAG
rnacentral:tRNA from 1 species